UUUUUAGUUCCUAGUGAAGUAAAUGAUUUAUGAACUUGAACUUGUUCCGGAGAGUAAGGCUAAGUUCUCAGAUAUAAUUAAAGAAAGAUGCAUAUAUCUAUCAGAAAUAUUGUUAAAAAGGUCUUCUAAUUUAGCCGUAGGAACUCUUGCUUUUAUACGACCUCUAUCCUCAGAUAACGUAAGGUGUUCGUGUGCUCGAGUUUGGUGCUCUAAAUUUCUAAACUCUAACGAAUGUAUAGUUAGUUCUGGCAUAAGACAUUACUUAGAGGAGAGUUUUGGGAGUAAACUACUCGUAACUCGUGUUUUAAACGCUCAAAUACUAUUGGCCGAUAAGAUAACUUUAACUUCCUGUGUGGCUGAUGAGUUGAUGGCUCCUUUAAAGUCGUAUAUACGCGUGACUUUAAGAAACUUUUACCUAUGCAAUAAAGAAAAAAUUGAGAUAUCUGUGUCUGGGAAGCGGAUGGAUUUUACUUGUGUCAUAAAUGAAGACAUCGAUGCUUUUAACGAUCUCAGCAGUUCUUUUGCCAGCCUUAAUAUUUUAACCUCCAAAAACAUCAAACUUACAGCGGUCUAUAAAGUCACGAGCGAAACUAGCUUUGAACUUACUUGUGUAAAGGAAAAACCAUGCAAUGAAGUUCAACAGUCGAAAGUGAACUUUCACGACAUUGGCGGAUUAGAUUCCGAACUGGAAGAGAUUCGCUCCUUUUUAAAAGUUCCCCUAUUAUCUUCAGAAUUGUUUCUAGAUUUUGGCUUUGUUCCGCCGAAAGGGCUACUUUUAUAUGGCCCACCUGGUACUGGAAAAACUCUUAUUGCUAAAGCCAUAGCUAAUGAAAUGCGCGUCAACUUCAUUACGAUUAACGCAACCGAAGUCUUAGCAAAGUUUUACGGACAAUCAGAAGCAAAACUGCGAAGUGUAUUCCACACAGCUGCGCAGUCUUCUCCUUGCAUCAUAUUUAUAGAUGAAGUUGAUGCGCUUUGUCCCAAGCGGGAACACGCCGAAACAGAAGUGGAGAAGCGGGUGGUGACCACUAUGCUUUCAUUGCUGGAUUCCAUCUCUAACGGAGAGAAGCAAAACUGCCGAGUGGUAGUCAUUGGCGCCACAAAUGCUCCCGAUCGGCUUGACUCGGCUCUGCGCCGACCAGGCAGGUUUGACCGCGAGAUAGAAAUCGGCAUUCCCAAUAGUAAACAGCGCCUCUGCAUACUGAAAAGGCUUCUCGCUAAAACGCCCCAUACAGUCUCUGAUUCGCAGUUGGAAUCCAUCAGCGCCCUCAUGCAUGGUUACGUCGGAGCUGACGUAUCUUCUCUUUGCAAAGAGGCUGGGCUGCUGGCUGUUAAGAGGACCAUGUGUUCUACUGGUGAAGAGGACUCGGCUGGACUUUCCGAUUUGGUUGUUACUGAAGCCGACCUGCGGAAAGCGUUAACAUUAGUUCGCCCGAGCGCCAUGCGCGCGGUUGUUGUGGAUGUCCCACAGGUGUACUGGAGCGACAUUGGCGGGCAGGAGGACACCAAGCAGAAGUUACGCGAAGCGGUCACGUGGCCUCUCCUCCACCCCGAGGCGUUCCUGCGGAUGGGCAUACGGCCUCCUAAAGGCGUGCUUUUGUAUGGUCCGCCAGGCUGCUCAAAGACGCUUCUAGCGAAGGCUCUUGCUACUGAGUCGCAGCUGAACUUCAUAUCCGUGAAGAGCUCAGAUCUUUUUAGUAAAUGGGUCGGGGAGAGCGAGAAGGCCAUGAAAGAGUUCUUUCGAAAAGCUCGUGCGGCAUCGCCUUGCAUUAUAUUUUUUGACGAGCUUGACGCUAUUGCGGGAAAACGGGGUAGAGACAGCGGAGAGAACAGCGUGGCAGACCGCGUGUUGACACAGCUUUUGAACGAGCUAGACGGUGUCGAGCCUUUAAAAAACGUGACGUUUUUAGCGGCGAGCAACCGACCGGACGCUAUAGAUCCUGCCUUGAUGCGGCCCGGAAGAAUCGACCGUAUACUUUUUGUAGCGCCUCCCGACGAAUCUUCAAGAAGAGAAAUUUUUACUAUUCACCUGAAAAAGAUGCCUAAUGACUUAACAGACGUUGAAGUGGAUGAACUCGCGAGGAAAACAUCCUUUUUUUCCGGUGCCGAGAUCGUGGCUGUCUGCCGAGAGGCCGCGAUGGAAGCCUUGAGACGAGAUAACGACACCACUUGUAUAAGAUAUUCGGACUUUGAAAAAAGUUUGUGCUCGUUUCAGCCUCAAAUUACAGAAAGCAUGAUGAAGUAUUACUUGAACUACUCGACGGGGAGACUAUGAAUCCACACUGCAACAAGAAACGUUUCGUCGGUGAUGCGGUUCUUCGUUUUGAGACACGUACCAGCGAAAGAUUGUGUACGGUAAGGUCAAUUACGUAACCUCCAAAGAUUGAAAAGAUAACCACGUCGAUGAGAAUCGAAGCGAUAACUCUUAAUACCGAUGCGACGCCUUUACUACACGAGAAAUAAAACUAUGCUCCACGUAAUGAUCACCUCCUAAACUAACAAAAAAACGUGUCUUCGCAGCUGAACGGUUAAAAGCAUAGACGCGUACUCUGGUUGGGGUGUUCAAACUCCGACUAUGUGGCUCUUCUUUUGAGAUUUGCUUAUUGCUAUUUGGCUCACAUCAAAGUUGUAACAGUGCUCUGCAUUCAUCAGCGAAGUGGCCGAGCUGGAUGCUCUUAAACAAACUAUUUACUUAGAUUUUAUCCAAGAUCCUGAAGUUUGCAAAAAGAAAGCUAUAUUAGAAGACGACUUCCUUUGUGAAGUAUGGUUGACGGAAUCCAUUUAAGCACUGGUUACAUCCUUCUGGUAGUGUCAUGAAGGUCGUUUCGUAUAUGCAAGCGGGAAUGUUAAUUCCAGACCCUGUUUGAGGGUUGAAAUUUUCCAUGAAGGCUAAUAACCAAAUCCGUAACUUUGCUUACAAGCCUGUCUCUUUACAUUCGUAAAUACCAUGGAGAAUCCGCAUGAGCAGCAGCAAGCGGUGAUUUCCUAUUCAUUUCAAUAGUGUCGCUGCGAUUGCAAUUCUUAUUUAAUUUUGGCAGGUGUUGAUUGAAAGAAUAACUGCCAACGUUGAAAAACUUUGUGAAACUAUUGCACAAAUUAAUGAAACCCUUGAGGAAGCUGAAUUUUACAAAGCUGAAAUUAGUUAUGUUAGUCAGGUUUGGGCGGGUUAUGCACGAAACUUAAGAAUUAAU